GGAAGUUAAAAGUCGUAACAAGGUUUCCGUAGGUGAACCUGCGGAAGGAUCAUUAUUGUAUAACCGAGGUGCGAGGGCUGUCGCUGACCCGAAAGGUCGUGCACGCCCGAGUGCCCUCACGCACAUCCAUCUCACCCCUAUGUGCACCACCGCGUGGGUCCCCCUUGGCUUGUUCGGAGGGGGGCUUACGUUUUCACACAAACUUUGCAUGCAGUGUAGAAUGUAUUUUUUGUUUUUGCGAUCACGCAAUCAAUACAACUUUCAACAACGGAUCUCUUGGCUCUC
rnacentral:misc_RNA from 1 species